rnacentral:rRNA from 1 species
AUUGAACGCUGGCGGCAGGCCUUACACAUGCAAGUCGAACGAGUGGCGGACGGGUGAGUAAUGUCUGGGAAACUGCCCGGUGGAGGGGGCUAACUACUGGAAACGGUAGCUAAUACCGCAUACUAUCGGAUCUGCCCAGAUGGGAUUAGCUAGUAGGUGGGGUAAAGGCUCACCUAGGCGACGAUCCCUAGCUGGUCUGAGAGGACGACCAGCCACACUGGGACGGAGACACGGUCCAGACUCCUACGGGAGGCAGCAGUGGGGAAUAUUGGACAAUGGGCGCAAGCCUGAUGCAGCCAUGCCGCGUGUAUGAAGAAGGCCUUCGGGUUGUAAAGUACUUUCAGCGGGGAGGCGGUACCCGCAGAAGAAGCACCGGCUAACUCCGUGCCAGCAGCCGCGGUAAUAC